AGUGUUAUGUCUGAUUAAAGUAGUAAAUUGUAAAUUUAUUUAAGAAAUUGAAUUUCUAACAUUA
rnacentral:tRNA from 1 species